GAUGAACGCUGGCGGCGUGCCUAAUACAUGCAAGUCGAGCGAACGGACGAGAAGCUUGCUUCUCUGAUGUUAGCGGCGGACGGGUGAGUAACACGUGGAUAACCUACCUAUAAGACUGGGAUAACUUCGGGAAACCGGAGCUAAUACCGGAUGAUAUUUUGAACCGCAUGGUUCAAAAGUUAAAGACGGUCUUGCGGUCACUUAUAGAUGGAUCCGCGCUGCAUUAGCUAGUUGGUAAGGUAACGGCUUACCAAGGCAACGAUGCAUAGCCGACCUGAGAGGGUGGUCGGCCACACGGGAACUGAGACUCGGCCCAGACUCCUACGGGAGGCAGCAGUAGGGAAUCUUCCGCAAUGCGCGAAAGCCUGACGGAGCACCGCCGCGUGAGUGAUGAAGGUCUUCGGAUCGUAAAACUCUGUUAUUAGGGAAGAACAUAUGUGUAAGUAACUGUGAACAUCUUGACGGUACCUAAUCAGAAAGCCACGGCUAACUCCGUG
rnacentral:rRNA from 1 species